rnacentral:lncRNA from 1 species
GGCUUGAAAACAAGAGAGAGUCAACGACAUCAGAGUAAAAGAGAUAAAUAUAUAAUGUUGCCACCAAAAAUACAAUUUCGUAUUCUCCCUAAUAAUGAGCGUAUAAAUUGAUUUUUAAAGUAAAUUACCCUUGAAGAUACUUUUAGCUAUUAUUCUAAUGCCAAAAAAUAUACUUAGUUGAGAAAUAUUAGAUAUAAAAUUUAAUAUUACUUAUUAGAAAAUAUAUAUGGGGGAUUAUGUGUGGCAACACUAAUGUCCGGACGCCAUAUUGGUUUUGACAUUGUUGACGUCACAAGAAAAAUGUCUGCGGCCGGUUGCGCACCAUUUUAUCUUGUACUAAUGUUUAUUUGUAAUAAAUAAACUACUUCCAUUUAAUUCUACAUACAUUGAUAACGUUGAGUCGAGCUUGCUCCUCCGUUGCUGUGUUUUGGUGAAAUUAAGUGUGUAUUUGUGAGAUAUAGACUCGGUGUUGAGACAGUGACUUGUUUGAUUUUGUUUUGUGUUUAAUUCGCGAUGAGUUCACAAAAAGAAAACACAAGAAUCUGCUGCUUGUGUGGAUCUUCACCUUCUAAAGAUCCCAGCAUCACUUUGCAUCGGUUUCCAAAGCCUGGCACUAAAAAUGCUCUGCGUUGUGAAUUAUGGGCAAAGUAUUGCUUCCCAAACGAAGCCUGGUCUUCACCAAAAUUCCAGGACGCACUCCAUAAACAACAUAAGAUGCUAUGCAGCAAACAUUUCAAAAGCACAUGCUUUAAUGAGAAGAAGUUGUUCAGAACAGCUGUACCUGAUGUAGUAAAUGUUUGUAAAUAUCAAAAUAUAAUUGGUCUAGUGUCUUUCUCUUCCUAAUCAUUUCUAUAAUAAAGAAGAAAUAACACCAACGUUUAUUACACAAUAUGAUAGAAUAAUUUAAACCAUGUCUGUAAACUUGUUGUUUGUUAAACAAAUCGAUAGUAUUCUUUAUUGUAUAAUAACAUAGUCUUGUUUUUUAUAAUAGUAACACUUUAAAACUAACUAGAAUUUUUGUUUGUUUAUGUUUUGAUGUUGAAAUUGUAUGCAAUAGGCCCAUCCAUACUUGUUAUUUUGGACGAAAAUGUCUGAAAUACCUACCUAAAUUGAUUAAAUUCAUGUAUUUUAAAAUUCAUUACAUAGGUGCACAUACUUGUGAUUUAUGAACACCUUUUGUACCCUAUUUCUGGAAAUAAAUUAUAAUUAUUAACAUGCUAAAUAAAAAACUCUUGUA